UCGUAAAGAACCGAGAUAAAUUACCAGGCUCUGGCUAACGCAGAAAGGGGCGGCUUGGAAGCUGUCAGGGAAAUAGUGUGGAGCACUUUGCGCGGAAGCGAGCGAAGGGUCCAGGUGUGUCUCUGUCUGAAGGAGAUGGCAGGACUUGGUCUGAAAGACGGACGCUGUUGCCUCCGGACGGCUGCCAAAGCAAGAACGUGACCACAGAGCAGAGUGAAAUCAAAGCGCUAUGAGGGGAGAGCUAAGACAUUGUCACAUGAACUUUGUUGCCUUCUCCUCUAAGGAGAAGCUGCGGAAAUACACCCGGAUCGAAACGCCCCUGGCUCGCGUGACCCUACCCCGGGAGAAGCAGCCGAGUUACCCGACAUCGUGGUCAGCAGAAGCUGGGUCGGUGCCUGGGUGCUGCAGCUGCAGGAACUCGGUGCCUAGGAGGGCUCCUGUGCAAGGAGAGAAGCAGAGAUGCCACAUUUUUAAAGUUUCACAAAGCAUCCAGCUGCACCCAGGUUCCUGGAGCAGGAGACAAACAGAAUUAAUGUUUUAUACCUUCGGGUAUAGGUUUGAGUUUUUUCCCCCUCAUGCCAAGUAUUUAAAACCUCUAGAAACCCAUGAUUUGACAAUCAAUGAUUGCGCGAUACUUUCAAUUUGAAUAUUCAAAGGCUUAACAAAAUGGACUAUCUUCUGCAGAAAUCCUGCACACAGGCACCCCACAGACAGUCCAGAGAAACAGGGAGUGAGACCCCUGUGGGUCCUGGGCCUUGCUUUUAUUGUAUUUUAAGCAUUUUGCCCACCUUUCCACAGACAGAGCAGGAGUCCUCAAAGAUGCUCUGUAUUUCUGCCUCAAAGGCAGCUCCAGGAGCCCUGAGUGACUUAGGCUGACCUUCAUGACCACCUGAGCCAGGCCGGCUGGCCAGACCGAUUCCCACGUCCCUUGUCUCCAUUUUAAGGGAAAAUCUCAGGUUUUGGGGAGCGAACACGGCAGGCAGUAGGUUCAGCUUGGGAAGGAGUCUCGCAGGCCCCAGGUUGCAGGCCGGAGGCCUGGCAGAACGCUCAGCUGUCUGCGCGGCAUCUCCUCCUGGCCACUUGCUGCCGGCCCUGCCUUGGGUCCUGCUCUCUGUGUGCGCCCCAGACCCUGGGGUUUCAAGACAGAAUGCCAACCCAUUUGCUUCUCCGCAAGGAGCUGGGGAUGCCUGUGUGGCCUCACUCUGAGUUUUUUUCUGAGGCUGGCGUUUCUUCCUGAUGAAGUUCCCUCUUCUCUCGUGUUUCUCUGUCUUGAGCCACCCCUGCCCUGUUUGCUGCAGGAGUUUGUAUUGAGAGACGAUGUGGACAAGCUUGGGUCCCGCUCAUUUGAGCUGAGAGGACGUGGAUUUGUGUUCAGGCAUUCACACUUUGGGUGAGAGGCGGGAGGGGCUUGCGCUCGGGAUGUGGGGCCUGUAGGUCCAGGCCUAGGCCCCUCAAAAAUAACGGAACUGUGCUGAGUUGUGUUCUCCGAGCGCUUGCUGUGACUCUUCCGUGUGAUGUGGAAACUUGAGAAGACGGGAGCGGUCCAGAGAGGGAGUGAGGGCCAGGCCAGACCCUCUUCCAGCUCCUGAGGGAAGGGGGCAGCACCAGAUGACAGAGAAGCAGGAUGGGGUUCCUUUUGCAAAUGAGCCAAGACAUUCCCAUGAGGCCGGGCCAGGCGAUGGCGACGGGCCUCUGUUCCCUGAGUUCUGUGAAAUGCAAAAGCCCCAUAGGCCACCAGAAAAAUAAUCCGAGUUCCCUUGAAUGUGUCCAGUGCAGGGUAGAACGUACAUGCUGAUGGGAGAAUGGAGGGAGGCCCCUUGGGGCGACAAGACGCUGGAGUCUGUGAUGGGUAGGAGCUGCUUGGCAGAGGAUCGGGGCUGGGAACAGCUGAGAUGUUAGCUGGAGGUGGAAGGCAGCGUGGGGUGUGUCCGUUCACAGCCCAGCUGGAAUCUCUCAGCUUCCGGAGCCUCUUUCGACAGAGGCCUCUGAGUCUGUGUCCUGAGUUUCCCUGAUGGGCGUCAAGCUGGAGGACGAGACUGGUGAGGAGGGGAAGGACACUGGCAGUUCAGAGAGCCCAUUGGCUCUCCCCCAGCCCUGCCCGGUCUGGGCAUCGCUCCUUCCAACGGAAUUGAGAACAGAACUGUGGACUUGGGGACGAGGGUCUCUUGCCCUCAGAGUUUCGAGUGUCUUCCUCCUUUUCUUGUUUUCCACUUAGUUUUUUGUUUGCUUUUAAAAAUCUUCCUCUCUGUCUUUUGGACUUUCUAUUUACUUUUUUCCCCAAGUGUCUUUUUCUUUGUCUCGCUUCCUGUCACUGCUUUCCUCUGUUUCUUGACUGCAUUGCUGUUUUUCUCCCUGGGCCCUUGAGUGUGUCAGUUUCCCUCUGUUCUGGGGUGCUUUCUCAUUUUUUUCAGGCUUACUCUCCUUGCUGACCUCUCCUUUUGCGUGGAGAUGGACAGAGGUUGUCGGAGGUCACUGAGUUCCCUUGGCAACAUCACUGAAGCUGAUGCUGAUGAUCGGUACGUGAUGUUUGCAGAGGGCAGGUGGGGGGUCAGGGACGGCAAGAGAUGAGGUCCUUGGAAGUCACAGGGUCUUUGAGACAGCGAGGAAGCUCGGUCCCUUCCUUGAGAAGUCUCUGCCUGAACCAUGGCAGCCGUUCUGGGGGCUUCUGUGUUGGCCCUGCUGCCAGGGAUGGAUGUCCCAGGGCUGUCGUUGGUGAGCGACUUCAAGAAAAUUGGGUUUCCUCAGGCCUCAGCCCUGUUUGGAGAAAUAUGUCUCCCAGUUUUUACCCCAGUAUGAAUGGAAUUUUGUUUCCUGCUCUUUCUGUAAUUGCAAAACCCCAGCCCAGAUAUUUCAUGUCCAAAUAUCAUGCUUGUGGAUGCAAGGGGGUGUUCUUUCUAAUGAGUCCUGUGAAUCUUUCCCACGGAUCUGCAUGUGUCAUGAAGUCUGGAGUAACCAGGUCUACCCUGAGACCCCAUUGAGUUGGAUGGUCCUCACAGGAGACUUGUUUCAAGAAGUUGUCAUUUACUGAGUGUUUAUUGGAUAUCAGGCACCGCAUUGUACAGCCUCCCCCUUUCACAGAUGAGGCUCAGAGAGGGGUAAGCAAGAUGCCCAAGGUUAUUGAGCACAUAAAUGGCAGGAAUGGGUCUCAAACCUUGACAAGUCUGAUACUAAAGGUCUUGCCCUUAACUAUCGUUGUCUUCCUGAUCUUUUAUCAUAGGACUUUCAAAGCUUUUUGACUUCAACCCAUAAUAAGAAAUUCAUUUUACAUGUUCACAUGCUAUACGGCCACAUCUACAUGUUUAUUAAACUCCUCACGAAACAACGUACGCCCGUGGAUAAGAGGCAUUCUGACAUUUGCCAUCCCAUCUUGUCCAUUUCAUUCUAUUCAUGAAACAUUUAUGUCGGUUGGGAGUCGCUGAGAUAAUUUGCUGGCCCACUAAUGAGCUGUGACCAGCCCUGGAGAGAUGCUACAUGCAAGACAAACACACUUGUCAGUGGUGUGCGUGUGAAAGUAUUCGGGACUGUUUUACUGUCGGGGUGUGUGAAGGGACACACAGGGCAGCAUGCAGACUGGAAAGCAUUCUGUAAGGACUGGGGACACAGAACCCUGAAGGAGACUGGCCGGCGGAGAGGGUGAGCUGUUCACUAAGCUAAUUAUAGUUUGUGCUUCUCAGACUAGCAACUCUUCCCUCUUGCGGGGGGCAUUGUCACCUCCAGGGUAUCUGCCCUGAAGUCCUGAUAAUCAUUCUGGGGUUUUAAUAAAAGGCUGAAAAAAAUGUUGUGAGCUUUCAACAGCCUUUAACAAGCUCACCUGCUUAAAAAUCUAACACAGGGUCCUGAAUUUUGGAUGUUGAAAGGGACCCUUGAGGUGCCAAGAGAGACUUGGAGCCUUUCUCCAACAUUCCUGCUGGUGAUCAUCCAGCCUCUGGCUCCCUCCGCUGCCUGGCUGAGCCCCUGGCCCCUGAUGGACGUGGGUUAAGGCAAUGGGAACCGACUUUGUAAGGGAGCAUGUUCCACCAUUAGCCUGCUUUAAACACAAUGAUCAUUGACUGAGCCAAAAUCCAAUUAUGUGUUAGUUGAGCACCAACUGUUCUCUCACUUCCACUCUCUCAUUGUUUGGUUCGUUCACUGAUUCAUGCUUCCAACAGCAUAUACUGAUUAUGAGUAUACAUGACACUGAGAUCAUGACCUGAGCCGAAGUUGGACACUUAACCGACUGAGCCACCCAGGCGCCCCUGCCCCAAGCCAUUUCUUUUUGAGGCUUAUUAUCUGUAGUUUCUCUAGUCUUUCAUAUAUUCUAGUUUUUCAGAUCUCUGAGCCACUGAGCCUGAGAAACCCUUUAGUGUAUCAGAGACCUUCUUAGAGUCACUGAACAUCCAGGGUAAUGGGAAUAGAAUACAUUUAUUUUAAAGGUUUUAAAUGGAAUAUUGAACUGAAUUUCUUCAGCAGGCUUUCGUAUGCAAAUGACACUGGUGAGCAUUCUAUUUUACCCCCAAAGUAGGAGAUUUCAUGAAUAUGAAAAGACUUUCAGUAUAAGGAAGGAGGAGUUUAUUCCCUCCAAAUUUGACUACAGCUCUAAAAUUCUCUUUAUUAAUGCAAAGUUCUUUUGUCAUUUUGCCUUUGGGACACUGUUACCAAACCUUGGGGGAAAUAUCAAGUUCCAAAAACAUGGUGGACACGAGUACUUGCUGGGUCCAGAGUGAGUGUUUGGUCCAUAUGAAAACGACCAGGAAGACUUACAGAUGGAGGUUGUUUAAUGAUUUGUGAUAACUCAGUCUCCUGCCGUAAAACAUAUCCAAACUUUUAACUUUUCCUGAAGAAGCUUCUGUAGGGAACAAGCAUUUGCUAAUUUAUCAUUUAAAUAAGGAAAAUAUUAUCAGACACUGCUUGAAAAGUUCACCUUUUACUUAAAACAUUUUAUUAUGCCAUAUAAAAACAUAGAAAGAUGACUGUGAUAAAAACCAAUGAAUAUAUUACCAAGGUUAAGAAAUAAAACAGUUGAGUGAUCUUUCAUUUAUGACUAAAUUAAUUUACUAAGCAUUAAACUUUUGGAUUAUUCCACUCAAGGUAUUUCAUCAGGAAGAAGGCCAGUAGGGACAUUUAUCAGUUUUCUUAAUGCAAAGGAGCUAAUGCUUAGAUAUUUUUUUUCUCUACAUCUUCUUCCUUUUGGAACUUGUAAAGAUCUUAUACUGUCCUCCUCUUUCAGCUUAUAAAUGCACUGACAAUGAUGUUGCAUACUGCAAAUCCACACAUCUUAUUUACUGGAGUGAAAGAGUAGAGGACACUUCUGUAUCGGAGAUCAAAGAUAACAUGGUGUUAUCAUUGACAGAUAAUUAUAGAAGAUUUUAUUAUUAUUUAUUUAACCUGAUCUUUAGGGAUUCUAGUUCCUUAUCGAUUUAUCAUAUUUGUUUUAAUCACAGCAGAGAAAACACCCAAUGUUGAAUAACUUUGAUUUAUAAGAUUUCUUAGCAACAUAUUGUGCUAUGUAUACUAUGUAGAUACUAAAUGAAUAUGUGGACAUUUUCUGUGUGCUACAUCAGAGUUCAGUAGUAUUCUUUGAGAUAUUUAAAAAUACGAAGUCAAUCAUGUUAAAUAUAUUACCAUUAACACCCAGUAUCUACUACUGCCAUCAACAUUCGCACAGAGUUUGGCUAAUGUUAGGUAAGAAACAUGGUAGUGUUUUCUCAUACAUCAGUCUCAGAGAACUGUCGCCUGUAGUGUCAGGAUGCAAACAGUUAUUCAUUUUUGUGGUGUUAUUUUAGUUCAGUUUAACAAAGAUAUUACUGAGCACCUACAACAUGCUGGGCACUAAGCCAGACACAUUGAUGAGCCACUUGUGAGUGCUCUGCUUGAUGAGUCUAGUCAGAGAAUCACUCUUUACCCAGAAUGAUUGAUUUUGCAUUUAAACCCUCUACAGUCGGUCGUUACUGAAUACAAUCUGUAAAGGCGCAGACUGAUGUUUUAAAUAGAAAGGAUACUUGAGACAGAACAUAACGACGAAACCUAAAGGGAGUAUGAUUUUGGUGUGUGGUUGGUAGAAUCACUAUAGUGUAAUGUGACUUAAACCUUGGAUCAAUCUAUACUUACUUCAGUUUUUUAAGUGUAACUGAUGUCUUCUUUCUUACGACUGUACUGUUUAGAUUCACAUAUUAAAAAAUGGAUCAAGGGUG